AGGAAUAUUGGUCAAUGGGCGAGAGCCUGAACCAGCCAAGUAGCGUGAAGGAUGACUGCCCUAUGGGUUGUAAACUUCUUUUAUAAAGGAAUAAAGUCGGGUAUGGAUACCCGUUUGCAUGUACUUUAUGAAUAAGGAUCGGCUAACUCCGUGCCAGCAGCCGCGGUAAUACGGAGGAUCCGAGCGUUAUCCGGAUUUAUUGGGUUUAAAGGGAGCGUAGAUGGAUGUUUAAGUCAGUUGUGAAAGUUUGCGGCUCAACCGUAAAAUUGCAGUUGAUACUGGAUAUCUUGAGUGCAGUUGAGGCAGGCGGAAUUCGUGGUGUAGCGGUGAAAUGCUUAGAUAUCACGAAGAACUCCGAUUGCGAAGGCAGCCUGCUAAGCUGCAACUGACAUUGAGGCUCGAAAGUGUGGGUAUCAAACAGGAUUAGAUACCCUGGUAGUCCACACGGUAAACGAUGAAUACUCGCUGUUUGCGAUAUACAGCAAGCGGCCAAGCGAAAGCGUUAAGUAUUCCACCUGGGGAGUACGCCGGCAACGGUGAAACUCAAAGGAAUUGACGGGGGCCCGCACAAGCGGAGGAACAUGUGGUUUAAUUCGAUGAUACGCGAGGAACCUUACCCGGGCUUAAAUUGCAGAUGAAUUACGGUGAAAGCCGUAAGCCGCAAGGCAUCUGUGAAGGUGCUGCAUGGUUGUCGUCAGCUCGUGCCGUGAGGUGUCGGCUUAAGUGCCAUAACGAGCGCAACCCUUGUUGUCAGUUACUAACAGGUUUCGCUGAGGACUCUGACAAGACUGCCAUCGUAAGAUGUGAGGAAGGUGAGGAUGACGUCAAAUCAGCACGGCCCUUACGUCCGGGGCUACACACGUGUUACAAUGGGGGGUACAGAGGGCCGCUACCACGCGAGUGGAUGCCAAUCCCAAAAACCUCUCUCAGUUCGGACUGGAGUCUGCAACCCGACUCCACGAAGCUGGAUUCGCUAGUAAUCGCGCAUCAGCCACGGCGCGGUGAAUACGUUCCCG
rnacentral:rRNA from 1 species